GGGUGCAGCGCACAGCGGGGUUGGGGUGAGCCGGGGGGUGUGAGCGGGGCACGUCCCCAGCACCCUGAAGCUCCCCCCCCCAUAAACACCCCGAGACCCCAACCCAGCAAUCUGGUGGUUUGGGGGGGCCCCGUGGCUCUAUGGGGUAAAGCACCAGCAGCCCCCGUGCCGGGAAGGGGUCCCGGUGAUCCUCACAGGCACCAAGGGGGAUGCGCACGGGGGAGCAGCUUCGUGUCCCCCCCCCCGGCACGCAGCCACAGCCGUGAGCUGGGCCCCCCCCGUGCCACGAUGGCCUUUGGGUGGCCUUGUCCCCCCCCUGUGCCCCCCUCCCAGGGUGACUCCUCUCACCCCGGCACGCAGGGAGUUAAGGGCUGGGGAUGUCCCUGGGGGGGCCACAGCUGCCGGCAGCCCCCGUGCUGGCCGCACGCCAGCCCCCCCCCUCCUAGAGCCCCCCCCAGCCGAGGCCCAGCUGCAGGCACUGGGCAGGGAGCCCUGUGCUGGGUUGGGGGGGGGGGGGGGGGCUGGGGUGCAGCCCCCCCAGGGUGCAAAAAGGAUCCCAGGACCCCCGUCCUCCAUGGGGAGGGGGGGGGGAAGCAGAUGGGACCCCCCCACACCCCCUCCAGGACCGGGAGCCCCCAGGAGGGGGGGUCCUGGGGGUUGGGUCCCUGCUCAGCACCCAGCGCUGGGACCUGCUGGAGAGGUCCGGGGUAUUGGGGAGAGGUGCUGGGUGCCCCCCCCCCGGUGGCUGUGCCCCCCCCGGGUCCCACGGCACCCCCUGGGUGUGGGCAGAGCCCGGAGCCGAAGCGGUUACGGCACGGGAGGAGGAGGGCGGCCGGGUGUGGGCGUCCCUGGGGGUGUCCCUGGGGGUGUCCCUUGGGUGCCCCUGGGGGUGUCAGGCGCAGGAUGGGGGGGGCCGAGCUGCCCGGCGGCUACGUGGUGGACGAGGGCAGCGGGAGGCUCUUCAGGAGGGGGGGGCUGCUGGGGGAGGUAAAUGCCCACCCCCCCCCCCGGCUCCAUCCCAACCCAACCGCGGGGACGGGGAAACNNNNNNNN
rnacentral:lncRNA from 1 species